AACAGGCUAGGAGAAACGAACUUUGAGUAGAUGACCUGGGUUCUAAAUUCUAGUUCUGAUCAGGGGAGCUAGGAUAAGGUGCAUGGAUCCCCUGAGCCUACAUUUUCUCAUUUUAUAAAUAAGGAGACUAAAACCAAUAAUGUGCUCAGGAAACACUGGACAAGCUGUUUGGGCUCUCUAGCCUUGGAUUCCUCAUUUGUAAGACAAAGAAGAUAAUCCUACCCUAUUGCCCAUGUUGGUGUGGGAAUCCACAAAGAAGGACACGGCACUGUUCCAAGUCAAGGGUUACAGGGAGAAUGGAACAAGUUUCAGUAGAAGAAACUUCACCUAACCUCUUUAAUUCCAACAGUUCUUGAAUUUCCUG
rnacentral:lncRNA from 1 species